UUCGCCCUUAGAGUUUGAUCCUGGCUCAGGACGAACGCUGGCGGCGCGCCUAACACAUGCAAGUCGAACGAGCGAGAGAGAGCUUGCUUUCUCGAGCGAGUGGCGAACGGGUGAGUAACGCGUGAGGAACCUGCCUCAAAGAGGGGGACAACAGUUGGAAACGACUGCUAAUACCGCAUAAGCCCACGGUGCCGCAUGGCACAGAGGGAAAAGGAGUAAUCCGCUUUGAGAUGGCCUCGCGUCCGAUUAGCUAGUUGGUGAGGUAAUGGCCCACCAAGGCGACGAUCGGUAGCCGGACUGAGAGGUUGAACGGCCACAUUGGGACUGAGACACGGCCCAGACUCCUACGGGAGGCAGCAGUGGGGAAUAUUGCACAAUGGGGGAAACCCUGAUGCAGCGACGCCGCGUGGAGGAAGAAGGUCUUCGGAUUGUAAACUCCUGUUGUUGAGGAAGAUAAUGACGGUACUCAACAAGGAAGUGACGGCUAACUACGUGCCAGCAGCCGCGGUAAAACGUAGGUCACAAGCGUUGUCCGGAAUUACUGGGUGUAAAGGGAGCGCAGGCGGGAAGGCAAGUUGGAAGUGAAAUCCAUGGGCUCAACCCAUGAACUGCUUUCAAAACUGUUUUUCUUGAGUAGUGCAGAGGUAGGCGGAAUUCCCGGUGUAGCGGUGGAAUGCGUAGAUAUCGGGAGGAACACCAGUGGCGAAGGCGGCCUACUGGGCACCAACUGACGCUGAGGCUCGAAAGUGUGGGUAGCAAACAGGAUUAGAUACCCUGGUAGUCCACACUGUAAACGAUGAUUACUAGGUGUUGGAGGAUUGACCCCUUCAGUGCCGCAGUUAACACAAUAAGUAAUCCACCUGGGGAGUACGACCGCAAGGUUGAAACUCAAAGGAAUUGACGGGGGCCCGCACAAGCAGUGGAGUAUGUGGUUUAAUUCGACGCAACGCGAAGAACCUUACCAAGUCUUGACAUCCUGCGACGCACAUAGAAAUAUGUGUUUCCUUCGGGACGCAGAGACAGGUGGUGCAUGGUUGUCGUCAGCUCGUGUCGUGAGAUGUUGGGUUAAGUCCCGCAACGAGCGCAACCCUUAUGGUCAGUUACUACGCAAGAGGACUCUGGCCAGACUGCCGUUGACAAAACGGAGGAAGGUGGGGAUGACGUCAAAUCAUCAUGCCCUUUAUGACUUGGGCUACACACGUACUACAAUGGCGUUAAACAAAGAGAAGCAAGACCGCGAGGUGGAGCAAAACUCAGAAACAACGUCCCAGUUCGGACUGCAGGCUGCAACUCGCCUGCACGAAGUCGGAAUUGCUAGUAAUCGCAGAUCAGCAUGCUGCGGUGAAUACGUUCCCGGGCCUUGCACUCACCGCCCGUCA
rnacentral:rRNA from 1 species